CUAUGGCAGUGGUCUAAAAAAUGGAAUUCCUUCUUUCUCAUGGAUUAGUGGAGAAACCAUUAAAAUUCUGAGUGGC